CCAUAUCAUCCAGAGCUAUCUCAAUAUGCUGGCCACAAUUAUUGCUGUAAUGAAGUCAUCAUUUUUCAGCUUAAGACUGCUUCAGUUCAAAGGAUGAGAGAAGGAAUCUUUCACAUUCUCCCUUUGAAUCAUUUGGUGUGCAGAUGGGAGGCUUUAAAUGUCCCAGGAACUUUGCUACUGAAAACGAAACUAUCCUGAAGACUGAUCUGAGACACAACAGAAGGUAAAGGCUGUGUGCGCCUGAAGUCGGCCUGCAAAUGUAUAAUUAUCCUGUUUUUGCAGAUAAGAAAACUAAGGUUGAAUCCGACAGGUCCCUGAAGCGAAGAGUGAUCCAAGAAAGAUCCACCAUUGCUGGCCUAGUCAAUAUUGCCAAAAAUAAGAGCUGCAGGUGUGGCAGCAGGUAUUAGUCAAAUCUCAAUGAUUGAGUAAUGUGGAAGGAACCAGUUUUCAUCCACCUUUGAGUCUCCUUCAGUUUCAGAAAACGACCUGGCACCACAGACACAGGUGAGGUGCUGAGGAAGUAGCAGUGCAGGGGCCUCCAAUUCAUGACAUCUUCCAGGAGCAUCUACUACAAAAAGAAUAAAAACCAAUAAAUUAAAAUAAAAUCA
rnacentral:lncRNA from 12 species